UACAGAGGGUGCAAGCGUUGUUCGGAAUUAUUGGCGUAAAGGGUGCGUAGGCGGCGCGGUAAGUCGGGUGUGAAAUUUCGAGGCUUAAACCUUCGAAACUGCAUUCGAUACUGCCGUGCUUGAGGUAGCUGGAGAGGAGACUGGAAUUUACGGUGUAGCGGUGAAAUGCGUAGAUAUCGAUAAGGAAGACCAGUGGCGAAGGCGGGU
rnacentral:rRNA from 1 species